AUUCGACUGAUGAGUCCUAAAUAGGACGAAAUGUGCAUCUUUGAU
rnacentral:hammerhead_ribozyme from 1 species